UCUAAUCAAAUCAAAUGUCAGCGUCAAAGUCAAAAUCAAGAAUCCAAACAAACUCAGUUGCACAAUUCACUUAAAUGUGGAAAAUAAAUUAAAUUCACACAGAUAGCUGAUUUGUGAGGUACAAACAAUGACUUCGACUGUGACAUCGCGUCCCCGCGACUGCAUGGCGUGCCGGCUCGUAGGGGCAGCGGGAAUGAUUGGCAUUGGAGGUUACCUCGCAAACAGCGCUUGCAAAAAUGCUACUUUAUCCGGAAAAUAUACCCUGUCGGUGCUUUCAUUUGGUUUCAUCUGCCUUGGUGUAGCCCGAUACAAACAAACAUUUCCUUUCAACAAAAAUGAAGAUUUUAAGUCUUAAAUAAUCAUAUGUAGGUAAACCUUUGUACAAACGUUAAUUAAUUAGUAUGUAAGCUGUAAAGAAAUGCUGUGUGAAUAAAAAUUAAUUUAGUACUGUUAAUUAUGUUGUAGAAUAAAAAAAUACAAAACAUAUUUUUGUCAGCUUCAAUACCUGUCUCUCAAGUCAUGUAAUUUUUACGUUUUGUAAUGUUAUUUUAUAAUUUUUAAUUUAUUUUAUAAAGGUGUACAUUGUAUUAUUGUACUGAAAGCCUUAAAACAAAAAAAAUGUGCAUAAAAUAAAGUGUAAGGCAAUUAUUUCGUAUUGUCCUUAGCAGCUCCA